AGAAAAUAGCGCAAUUAAUUAAAUUCGAAAAUUGUCGAUGAAGAUUAAGCAAAAAAAAAAAAAAAAAAAAAAAAAAAAUAGAAUCUAAACAACAGAAUAUAAACAAAAAUUGAGAUUUUUCAUAGAAAUGUUUAAACGAUGGAAGGAAACGAUCACGGUAAAGCGAUACUUGUCUCAUUAUUUACCUUACAAACAAAACGCUUUAACUUGCAAAUUAAUUUAUGAUCGCGAAAUGCGUAGAUGUUUGAUUAUUAUCUUCUAAUAUAAUGUAAAAUUUUUUUUUAAAAACCAGGAGAAAAAAACGAUCAAGAAAAGAAUUUUCGUUUUAUCUAAUAUCUAAUAUCCCUAAUGUAAUAAAUAUUCGAAUUGGCUAUUCGACGACCGACCGCCGCUUGGACCGCUUGAUCGGUGUCAUUCUGAACGGAGGAUUCACGGCUCGAUACCAUACACGCGGUGCAGUCAAACACAGGAAAUUUGAAAAGAAAAGAUGAUAUUAAAAGCGUCGGAGGAUAUUUUGAUAUGGAAGAAUAGAACGAACAAAAGCGUUCGAACGACUAUCAUUUUUCCAUGGUAGUCAGAUACAACCUGUUGCUAAGAGGCCUGAGGAAAUUCGCACGCGAAACGGUGCGAAUCGGCAACGAGUAGACUCGACUCAGACAAGCGCAAAGAACUGAGUAAGAAAAAACAUUGGCCGUAAAUGCGGAAUCGGAGAAGAUUUUUCAAUUUUGAGUUGCAAUAUCUCGAGAAAAAGAAAGAAGAAGAAGAAAGAGGAAUCACAAUACCGUUCGAGCUGGGAAAGAUGACGAUUGGAAAGAAAUGAAUAGCUGACUAGACAAGAAUGCAAACGCGGCAACAUUUGCCUCGACCUUGUCAGUCACGUUUACCGAGAAUCAACAGAAUUUUAUUUAUUUUAUUUCUAAACCAAUGAAUCCUAAUAAUCUUAAAUCUUCAAUAUUCAUCGUAUCGAAUAAUAUUUGGAACAAUGCCGCGAACAAUGUCUUUUUUUGUGGAAAAGAGAGAAGAGUACCAUACCUGUUGUUCGGUGUUGAGGACACGGCUCGAACCGAUACGUGAAUUUUAAGUCCGCUACUGCUUGCUCCGUCUUACCAAGGGCACAUAGACUCGUAUCGAAAGAAGAGGAAAGAGAGGAGUCACACCUGGCGCGGUACAAGAUGAGAUCACUACCGCACUCACUGAUCAACUGGCCCCGCGCCCCACGUCUGGGGCCGCACGCACCUUUCGCGUUACCCCUUCCCCCUCGAACUCCGGAACCUGGAGCUCCUUGGCCCCCUCGGGGCCCCUUCGGCCCUCUUCCACCCUCCACUCCCCUCCAUAUCCUCUUUACCUCUUCAGCUUCGUUUCGAAUGCCCAUUGGUCCGUUCAAAUCGACAUCGUGACGUCACCGAACCGAACUGCCGACAUAUAUACGAGAGGAACGAGUCUCUCUCUUUUCUUCUUUCCUCUCCUCUCCCCCUCUCUUACUUUCUACACCGCUCCAUUCCGUUCCUUGCCGUGCUGUUCCCCUUCGUGGAUCCACUCUUUUCUCUUGUAUCUUCUCUCCCCUAUGCUCUUCACUUGGUCUUCUUUCCCCGACUACCUGUCCUCCUACCUAUGUCCGUUUUCUAUCGUUCUCUUCUUCUCUGUCCCUCCCUCUCUCUUCCCUUCUUUGGCCGGUCUUCUCGUUUGGCCGGCUCUCUUGGAGCAUUACCGCGGCAUCCCUGUCCUUCUACCUGGUUGAUUCGUUCUUUAUCGCGUUGCCUCGUCUACCUUUUCCUCGCGCCGGCAUCUCGUUCUCCUUGUUCUCGAACGCUCUUCUGGCUCUUGCUGCGCGAGUUCGCGAUCUUUCCACACGACGUCUCGUAUAUUCCCCUUUUGUUUCUUCCGUUUUAUAACCGUUGACCCGUAAACUUUUCUUUCUAUAUUCUCUCCUUAACGAUCUUUGCAGAUUUUUUUCAAAGAUAAAGUUUUGUUCGGGAUUA
rnacentral:lncRNA from 1 species